GAUGAACGCUGGCGGCGUGCCUAAUACAUGCAAGUCGAGCGAACGGACGAGAAGCUUGCUUCUCUGAUGUUAGCGUCGGACGGGUGAGUAACACGUGGAUAACCUACCUAUAAGACUGGGAUAACUUUGGGAAACCGUAGCUAAUACCGGAUAAUAUUUUGAACCGCAUUGUUCAAAAGUGAAAGACGGUCUUGCUGUCACUUAUAGAUGGAUCCGCGCUGCAUUAGCUAGUUGGUAAGGUAACGGCUUACCAAGGCAACGAUGCAUAGCCGACCGGAGAGUGUGAUCGGCCACACAGGAACUGAGACACGGUCCAGACUCCUACGGGAGACAGCAGUAGAGAAUCUUCCACAAUGGGCGAAAGCCUGACGGAGCAACGCCGCGGGAGUGAUGAAGGUCCUCGGAUCGUAAAACUCUGUUAUUAGGGAAGAACAGAUGUGUAAGUAACUGUGCACAUCUUGACGGUACCUAAUCAGAAAGCCACGGCUAACUACGUG
rnacentral:rRNA from 1 species